rnacentral:snRNA from 1 species
GAUGUGAGGGGCAUCUAGCUGUAACAUCUGUCACCUCAUUGAUUGCCUGAGUUGAAUCAGCUGAUCUGGUUGGCUAGGUGGGUGUCCCCUUCCUCCCUCACUGGACCAUGUGCGUCUCUCCAGAAGGAUGACCUUCCUCAAAUAGAGACAGAACCUUCAGACAAGCU